AGUUUAAAAAGAUGGCAGAGAGAAGAGUUCCUGAGAAGACCAGAUAGGACAUUUGCAUCUCAAAGAUGGGGAAACAAGUGUGAAGCAGGGUGUCCUGACUACAAAUGCAGUGUUGUUCCCAAGAUGCCGCAAUGGUGGCUGCCUCUUGGCUCAGCGCCAGCUCACUCCGGGAGUGGACAUGAGUUCCUGGGCUCCACGUCACCCAACACGAAGCCACACGUCAUGCAUGCUCUGUGAAUAGCUCUUGGUGAAAAUGGAAAUUAAACCAGAAUGUGAACAUGCUGAAUGAAUCGGACUCCCCAGAGAUUUGGAGGAGAAGAAAACCUCCCACUCGCCUUUGACUUUUGGAUUUCUUGUUUCCCUCAUGUUUGGAUUGCACUUUAAGAAGUCCAUCUGGAAGUUCACUUUUUAUAUUUUGCAAAUGCAAGUGGAGCUUAUUAUCAAAAGACAAACCCCUAAAGGAAGAAAAACAGUGGGCAGGGAUUGGGGGGGUCAGAGAAUCACCUAAAAAAGCCAGUGACGGUAUUUAAAGUUAAAUUCCAGAAAUUAAACUCCAUUUAUUGCUGGGCCUGACUUUGCCAGUCUGCUAGUUUGGAUGAAUGCAUGGAUAUGUUUAGCUGCUUGCUUCUAUCUAUUAAGCUAGAAGAUGAGUUUGGGUAGGUGUCAACACCUGCAAAUGUCAUCAACCCUGCAAUACCUCUGUAGCACUGAGUUAUCAAAGCAGCACUGCCACAGUCUGCCUGAGACUUCAGUCAUCCCACAGUGGGCACCAGUACACUUCUUUCCUUUUUCUGGCCUCAGGAAAACAUUCUUAGGAUUUCAGGAUCUUAUUAUAUGUUGAGCGAAUUGCGUUCUUCUUGAAUUCCUUACGAAGUCACUCUGGUCCCUGGAGAUUAGAAGUUUAAACUUUGAAGGCCAUACCUCAUCGAGUUCUCUUCACUUUGGCUUCCCAGCCAUUUCUGUUGCAGCCAGACUUAAUCCUCUUCAGACGUAUCAAGCCAACCAUCAGUAAAGGUGGUCUUUAUUUCCUCACACAUGCUGCAGAGAUUAAGGCUGCCUGAUUUUCUCAUAUAUUCCCUGGCACCCCAACUACAGAUUCAGCUGCUGUCUGAGGUUGAUGUAAAUAAUGUUUACAACUUGGCCCCAACUUGUUGGCCAUUUACGGGAAGAAUCCAUCUUAUUCUAGAGUCACAAAGGCUAAUGCCAUCUUGGUCAUAACAGGAUAGCUGGAUAGAGCAUUAGCAUCCUAGAAUCUCUUUGUAAAUUUCCAGACCAGGGAAGAUAAAGAGUAGUUUGCUUCAGUAGGUCUGGGUAAAACUGUCAGCAUUAGGCAGAGAGGCCCACGAAAAUAGCAUUGGAUUUUGAGUUGCGACCCAAGUUAGAGGUAGCUGUACUACCUUCUAGCUGUGUGGUCUUGGACAAGUAACAUAAUCUCCCUGGACCCAUGUUCUCAUCUGGAAGAUAGGAACCCUAUCAUGGACCCUGCACAUACCCCUGGAUGAUUGGAAUAAAGGAUAUGAGACUGUCUUGAAACAACGAAGUGCUAUUUAAGUGAGAGCUACCACCAUUGUCACCUAUAGCACAUUGCAGGUUGUCUGAUGACCAUUUAUUGCAAGUUUUAUGACAGUCCUAAAAUACAUCAAGAAGUUUCUUAUCUUUUCUCCGAACCUCAGUUUUCUUAUUGUAAAAUGAGGUGAAAAUGAUA